UACGUAGGGUGCGAGCGUUGUCCGGAUUUACUGGGCGUAAAGCGCGUUCAGGCGGUUUGGCAAGUCGGGCAUGAAAUCUCUCGGCUCAACCGGGAGAGGUUGUCCGAUACUGCUGGACUUGAGGGCAGUAGAGGGUGGUGGAAUUCCGGGUGUAGUGGUGAAAUGCGUAGAUAUCCGGAGGAACACCAGUGGCGAAAGCGGCCACCUGGACUGCACCUGACGCUGACACGCGAAAGCUAGGGGAGCGAACGGG
rnacentral:rRNA from 1 species